CGUGGAAGGGAGGCUAGCCGGCCAGAGCAGCAGGAGCAAGGAGGCGGGGUCGGCCGUGGCAACUGGAACAGCUGCUGGUCAGCCUGACACACCGCCUCAGCCAUGUCUCCUCUGAUGCAGCCCGGACGCUCAAGAGAGGUAGUUGUGCCGUCACUGGUGGCGAGUUCAGCGGCCGCCUCCUCCUCUUCUUUUCGAACCCAGCCCUCUCUUGAGUGUGUCGUGCCCUCAACUACGGUAAAGCACCAGGUCCACGUGAGCUCCUCCUUCAACCCGCAUAUGUGAUUUCUUCCUUUUCCAUGAAUGCACACAUCUAAAGCGUUUUUUUGGGUUCCCUCAUCUAAAUGUCUUCUGAAGUGUGCAGAUUGUUAUUCAUUAUCAGGGAGGACAAUAUUCUUUUCAAGGACUCAUUAGUCCCAGAAUAUUUAGCUGGUAAGAUACAUAUUUUAUGAUUCAUCCAUCUCUCCAAUUCUGACCUUACAUAUCAACCUGUCUCCAUGUACCCUUCUAUAUCUGGUGCUGCUACUUUUUUUUCUUACAUGGAUAUAUGUAUGAGAUUUCUUUGUUUAGGUAUAUUUGUGCCUGAAAGAAGUUUACAUCUAUUUUCUUGUUAGAUGAGCCUGAAUGAGAAUACUUAUGAGAUCACAUGAAUGUGAUGUUGACGCCCUGUAUGCUCCAAAAUUGUAUCAUUCUUCCCACACAAUGGUUAGAAUCCCAGUUGUUGAAUCACAAUAGACAAGACCAUAUUUCACAUUUUGUAUAGUCCAACCAAUAAUACAUAUGGAGCCUGGUGAUGGUUAUUGAUAUAUUGUGAUAGUAGUUUCCUGCACUAAUUAGUUAAUGAGCCACCCUUUCGUUUUCAACUCAAAGUGCUGCAACAGUUAAAUAGAUGUGUUCGUGCCAUUUAGCCCCAAAAUUCAGUUCAGUUCGGUUGUACAUCUAUUGCCGACCCCUUUUCUUAGUACUGAUUGACCUUUAUGUGUUAAUAUUUUUAUUGACUUCAUUUUUUCCUUUAGUCCUUCCUCUUGGUGUAUAAUCCUGAUUGUGUGAGUUCCUUUCCUGGUAGGUAUUUAUGACUCAGACCAUUCCAUAACAAAAUGCAUAUAUGGCCUCAUGCAUGUUUAUUGCUUGCCUGUGUAUCGUUGUGUUCUUAUCGGUUGUUUUCUGUGCGUUUCGUAGGAUGUGCGAUCUCUUCUGCCGCUACGUCUCUGUUCGACUCGCCAAGGUUUGUUGUUCUCCUUUUUACAUGUGUGUGUGUUUUACUUUCACUAUCUGCUAUAUCAUGCUAUCUGCCUUCAUGAUCGUUUAAAUAUUAUUAUGGUGUUUGCCAUGCUGAUCGUUUAAAUAUUUCGGAUACGGCAGGGCAUUGUGUGUUGUUCGUUCUCUUGCUACUUACAGUUCGUGUAUGCGUGUGAGCAGGAUCUAUGCACUUGUUUCCGUUGUUAUACUUGUUUUGGAGACUGAGGUAGCUCGGUGUGCUUUGCCGUCGCUUUCGUGUCUGUGUGAGGUUGUAGACGACGGUUCUGUUCUUGCUGGUGUAGAACUCGAGCUCCCAGGGGACGGUUCUGCUCCAGUGCCACAAAGAGAUUUUUUCCGAGCUCGGCUUGGUGUGGUUUUAUGAAUGGCUAUGAGCAGGCUGCUCUACAGGUCUUGCGUAUUUUGCAAGGUUUAUAUGGACUUUUCGUUCAUGACAAUAAUUAUGAAUGUAUGAUGGCCUAUAGGAGAUCUUUCUGUUCAAGAACAUUGCGGUUUCUUUGAUUCCUACUAUGCUAUUUACUCAGUCUGCAGGCUAGCAUAUUAUUUAGAUUCUUUCUAACUAACUUACUUCGAAGCUCGGUACUGGUCUCCUUCAAGCUACAACCCCAAGGCGAGCUCUGGUGGUCAAGCUGAUGCUUCUUCGCCUCCUGUUGAAGAAAAGGAUGAUAAGGAUGUCGAGGCUCGAGUGACCAGGAACAAGUGGUGCUGCUUUUUAUGCUGUCCAUCUAUAUAUGCAUCCCUUCAGUUUGUACAGACAAAACAAAUAUUCAUUUCUGACUAGAACUAAACUUGCAGUUAAGAAACUCUGCUGCUGGAAAGGGAGCUGGGGUACUAAACAGAAUAUAGUUUGAGCCUGCCAGUUCUUUUUAAUCCUAUGGCAUGUAUUUUUGCAGCAAUCGUCUUUUAUGUCUGGUUCCCAAAGUUAUUAGUUAGCCUGCCUAUUUCUCGCCGUUUGAUAACCUAUAUUAUAACUAUAGAGAAUAUAGUUUGAGCCUCCAGUUCUUCUGCCUUGGAUAUGAGAUAAUGAGGCAGUUUUAAUAUUGUCGUAGAUUCACAUGAGUUUAUUUUAAACUACUGGAUGCAUCAUUGACGGAGAAAUACCUUACAGAAUGAUGCUGAGCCCCGUCUGGAAUGGAACCUUUUUGGAGCUGCUUAUGCUUGGUGCGGAGCGGGAAGCCUAUGAUAGCAACAGUAUUGGACUCCAUAGAACUGGAACUCUAUACCUUUCUUAUGUAGCUCUUCCUUUUGUUGUCUUCCCUAGAAGGGGCUGAUGUAGUUUUUCUGAAUUACAUGUCUCCGCUUUGUUCUACGGCAGAUGCUUCUACUCUGGAAUGGUAGCAACAAUACUGGACUCCACUGAGAACUGGAACUCUAUACCUUUCUUGUGUAGCUCUUCCUUUCGUAGUCUUUGCUGGAAGGUGCAGAUGUAGUUUUCCAUUUGUUUUUGAAAGUGCAACUAUCCCUAGGUGGUUUUGGUAAUUCAUAACAACAUAUAGCUCAUUGAGCUAAUGCUAUUCCAAGACUAUUAUUUCAGGAAAGCUCAA